GACGUAGGGGGCCAGCGUUGUUCGGAAUUACUGGGUGUAAAGGGUUCGUAGGCGGUGUGGCAAGUCGGGAGUGAAAUCUCUGGGCUCAACCCAGAGUCUGCUUCCGAAACUGCUGUGCUUGAGUGUGGGAGAGGCGCGUGGAAUUGCAGGUGUAGCGGUGAAAUGCGUAGAUAUCUGCAGGAACACCCGUGGCGAAAGCGGCGCGCUGGACCACUACUGACGCUGAGGUGCGAAAGCGUGGGGAGCAAACAGG
rnacentral:rRNA from 1 species